CUCCUCCCGCGCCAGCCACGGAAGAACGCUGCGGACCCAGCUCGCUUCUGGUAGCAAGACCCGAACUGUAAGGAAGAAAACCCUCGUGAAAGAGGAGCAAAGCUUUCACUUCGCUGCGUUUUAAGACGAAAGUUAGGGCUGGAGUAUGAUGGCAUGAUGAUGGCUCACUGCUGCCUUAAACUCCCGGCCUCAAGCUGUCCUCCUGCCUCAGCCUCCCAAAUUGCUGGAAUUACAGCUUGCAAAGUGCCUGUAGCCUGUCGUGUUCUGACUUGGGCCCUAGAACAACCUUUUCUACAAUGUUGCCCACAGCUCACUGGAAACUGCCCUCUAGACUUUUGAUUCAAGUUCCAUAGGGAGAAAGGGACGGAGAGAAAAACAGACAGAAUCUGACUCACCCAGCUCAACCUUUUAAAUCAUGCCACCCAGGUCAUAGGUCACUGACAAGGAAGGCUCUGCUGGGACCAGGUGCCUGUCCAGUCACAUUCCAAGCAAAUGCUGUGAGAGGAGUGAUGUCCUAAAGCUUACUGCCCCAUUAAGAAGAGAUGGCAGAUGGGGACAGAGUCUCUGGGGAAGGAAGACAGGGUAGACACUCCAAAUUUAGGGCAUGCAGCAGUUUGCUGACUGUGCCUGUCUGCUGCCUCGAUUUCUACACUUAGUGAGUCCAGGGGGAUAAUUCCAUUCACCUCUUCAACAGAAAAAAAUGUAUGGCCUUUGUAAUCAUCAUCAUCAUUUCCCCUUUAUCAUCAUUAUGUCUGUAAAUGUGUUUACAUACUUGAGAUGUGACAUCAUUUUUCCUUUAUUAUCAUGUACUUAUAAAUGUGUUUUUGAUUACGUGCCUUUAAAUAUUUGUGUAAACACA